rnacentral:lncRNA from 13 species
AUGUAUAAUUUCAGACCUGAUAAUGGCUUGUUGUUGGCAGGUAAAAUGAGUAAGGCCUCAGCUGAAUCUACAGACCAAGUGAUGGAGGAGGAAGUAGGUCAGCUUCCGAUUACAGACCAGAUGGAGGAGGACGAGGAGGAGGAGGCUGGGAGCUCAACAGAGACUGAGAGACCCUCCUCUUCUCACACCAAGAGGAAGCCUUCUGUUGCAGCCAAGCAAGUUGGAGGGAAUGAGUCAGACACCUCGGACGAGAGUGGACAGGACGAUGGCGCCUCAGAUGGGAUGUUGGUUGUGCGGCCUCCUGCUGGGACUGACAAGGAGGACAAGAGCAGAGGAGCCAUGAAGCUCCGAGUGGACCUCUCACGGAGAAAGACAGGUAAAAUGAGUAAGGCCUCAGCUGAAUCUACAGACCAAGUGAUGGAGGAGGAAGUAGGUCAGCUUCCGAUUACAGACCAGAUGGAGGAGGCGGAGGACGAGGAGGAGGAGGCUGGGAGCUCAACAGAGACUGUGAGACCCUCCUCUUCUCACACCAAGAGGAAGCCUUCUGUUGCAGCCAAGCAAGUUGGAGGGAAUGAGUCAGACACCUCGGACGAGAGUGGACAGGACGAUGGCGCCUCAGAUGGGAUGUUGGUUGUGCGGCCUCCUGCUGGGACUGACAACAAGGAGGACAAGAGCAGAGGAGCCAUGAAGCUCCGAGUGGACCUCUCACGGAGAAAGACAGGUUAGUCUCCUCACUAUAUACCACACUGCUACCAACCAGGGGAUAGUCGGAGAAGCCCCCAAGGUUUUGACCAGAGGGUGUUCCUACAGCCUAAUAAUCACAACUACUGCCAGUUUAAUGAAAUCAAACCUUUUGGGAUUGAUAUUUGUGUCUAUUAGGGAUCCCCAUUAACUGCUCUUCCUGGGGUCCAAACACAUUAAGGCAGUUAGAUCACCUAAAACAGCAGACUCGCGCGUCACCUAAAACAGCAGACUCGCGCGUCACCUAAAACAGCAGACUCGCGCGUCACCUAAAACAGCAGACUCGCGCGUCACCUAAAACAGCAGACUCGCGCGUCACCUAAAACAGCAGACUCGCGCGUCACCUAAAACAGCAGACUCGCGCGUCACCUAAAACAGCAGACUCGCGCGUCACCUAAAACAGCANNNNNNNNNNAGGAGGUAGGUCAACAUCAGAUGAUCUUUCUAUGUCCCCUGCUUACUUUUUCAAAUGUAUCCACCUGGGCACAAACAUUGUUUUACCAAAAACAGUAGUACACUAGAUGGGGAAUUGGGUGCCAUUUGGUGAACAGCCGGACUGUAGCUUCUGUGGCAGACAACAGGACACUACGAUCACUCUGGGGCUAUUCUCAUGCUUUUUCCUCUUGGA